AUUACUUCAGGCUAGGGUUCCGGCUUUCCCAGGGAAAGUGACUGGUCCGAGAGCUUGAGGCUUCGUCAUACGAAGCUCCACGGAGGGAUAAAAGCCCGGGAGGU
rnacentral:sRNA from 2 species